AUUCUACCUGGUGGAGAUAAACAAUAACAAUAAACAUUAUAUAUAUGUUUAUUUAUAUAUAUAUAUGAGAGAGUGUGUUAGAAAGUGAUUGCUUUAAGAAGAAACCUGAGGACCAAGUCAGCCGAGGAAGAAGAUGCUUUUAAUUUAAAUAGGGUGGUUGGAAUUGGGUGGGGGGAAGACAUGUCUUAAAAGAGGUGAGGGAGUGAGUCUUGUAGAUACUUAGGGUGACUGACACAAGUACAUGGGGGAAGGGCCUUAGUCUUCUAUUUUCUCUGGAAAUUAGGAAACAAGCUCUUCUACUAAGAAUAAGGCAGGCUUGGAAUAAGGAACCAAUAACAAUAAUUAGAAGAGGCAGAGGGAUACCACAGAAAAGUUUUUGGUGAAAGAGCACAUGUGGAGAUGGGUGAGUGGAUUCAACUUCAGUAGAAAAGAAAGUGAAGAUACAUAAGGGCAUAGGUGAAAAGAAAACGAGGGAUUUCAAGGAAUUGGAGGUCAGAAAAGUAUUCAGUAGGAUUAAGAAAACAUGAGCAGUCAACAGAUAAGAUUCUGUGGUUUCAGUGGAACUUUGGGUCUAAAUUUUGAGAAUUCGAUGAUCUUAGGCAAUGAAAAAUGUGUAAUUUGGGGAGUAAAUUAUUUAGAAGCCAUUGGAGCAGAUGCUUGUAUUCAAGGAAAUCAUGUAAACUCCAGUUCCAUUCAGCGGUCUUAAGGCUAGUAAAUGAGAGAUUUCAUCUACUAUCGCUCCAGCGAGAAAGCACGAGCUUGGUGUUGAGUUUAAAGAACAUGGGACUAUCCAUUACUGGCUUGGUAACCUUGAGCAAGUGCAUUAUGUAUAACAAACUGUUUUUUCAUUUGCAAGAUGGAUAAACACAGAAUUAUCAAGAAUAAAUGAGUUAAUGCAUGCCGUAUGUACCUAGCACAGUGCUUGACACAGUAAACCAUGAUCAACAAUUCAUAGAUAUUACAUUUUGUCCAUUCCAAGAUCUUUUUGUCACACUUAAAAUAUCUGUGUUAAAGACACACCCAGUAAGGUCCCUCCCCUCAAACUAAUACUAAAUCAAUAAGGCCCCUGGGUUUCCAUGGUUGAUCAUGUUUCAGGACUGAAGCAUGUGAUCUUUCCCAUCUCUUUUCUCUACCAUUUAUUCCAUGGUGAACGUGAAAAGUGAAUUAUAAUCUAGAAAAAUGAUACUUGUAAAGUGCAAGCAGAGGCUAAAAAACUGGCUGGCAGGAAUUUGAAUGGAAACAGUGGCUUUUCUGGAAGGAAUGAAAUCAAACGACCUCGAAAGUCUUAUGAUGAUUGACACCAACACUUGGUCUGAGAUAGAUCUUGACUUCCCCACACUUGACUUUUGCCUCUCAUCCAAAUUCUCAGGAAGGUAUUUUUUAAAAGUUUCAAGAAUAUGAAGUUGGGGGAUCCAAACAUGAUUGAUAACAAUACCAAGAAAAGAUUGAGUUGGAGUAAAAAAGCACCCUUUCCUAUGACGUAUAAAGAGACCAACAAACAGAAACAUUCUUAUUUAUCCAUUAAACAUCUUUCCCAUCCAGAUAUGAGGAGCAAAAUGAUUAUAGAUUAUGUAUUAAUUUGAAGAGCUAAAUGAGCUUUGGACCUUCCUGUGAGAACAGAAAUGUAGAAAUUUUGCCAUAUUGAAAGGUGUCUUUACCAUAUCCUUAUCACUAUAAUAAAUGUGGGGCUCAGGUUUGAAGUUAGAAGUUCUACCCAGAAAUUGUCUCCAAUUUGAGUGUUCUCUCAUGAGCUGGUUCCUCUGAAAAUAUCAUGUACACCUGUCUUCAAGGGUAUGUGGUGAUAGACAAGGUCUCAAAUCUUGGCUGGAUCAUUCAGGUUAUUUACAGAGUAACUCAUGGCAGCUGAGACAAAGAAGAAAUCCAUCUCUCGGUAACGAACAAAACAAAACAAAAAUACCAUUGGCAGCAAUGCUGAGGUUAAGUCUGGAAACAGUUGGAACUAUCAUCGGAAAAGGAGUCACAAGGUCAGAGGUCAGAAACAUGAGGAACAGAACUGGAAGGUGAAGGGGUGUUGGGUCAGUGUAAGGACUCGAGGCAGAACUAAGAACAAAGGGAGUCAGGUGUGACUUUUUAUGGGGUUGGCAUGAAGGUUAGUCUGCUGAUUGAGAUAAGACUACAUAAUUGUGACACUUCUGCAGGACCCGAAAGGGGUGGGAUAACCCAUAAGAGUCUCAGCAUUAUUUUACCCUGAUCAUACUAGGCUGUAUCUGUAUUUGUGUAGGUAGCUUAGCCAUCAUUUUAUACCAUAUUCAGCUGUCAUUCAUAGAAAUCCCCUUAAAUCCUCUGUGUAUGGUUUCUGAGCAACUCUGAUGUUCUCAUUUCCUGGUUUUCCUAGAUGACUUGCCCCUGGUCAGCUAAUAUCCUUCAUUUUACUAUCCUAUGUAACUAUUCGAUUCCAGCCCCAAUCAAAUUAUCCUGCUUUCAGAUCUCCAAAUAAUGUGCUUAUCUGAUUAUCCCUGUCAUUCUCUCAGUGCACAGUUCUGGGUCUUUGCUGAGAAGACAUGAACUAGUCAGUCCCUGUUAGGUCACCUGGCAGUCUAUCCUUGUUUGUUGUAAGCAUUAGUAAGAACAAAUCUGCCACAGAUUCAUGAUGAGGCCUCCCUUUAGCAGAUAAUGCUCAUAGUUAAAUGUACAUCUGUUUUGGAAAUGAAUUUCCUUACAGAGACUAUUUCCCUCAGUUGUGUCCCAUGAAAUUUACAAGCAGGGACUUCUUCACUUUAAAUAGGAUCAUAUAUGAAAGCAUUAUGCCAGUUUUAGCCUCCCCCACUUGUCCUUCAUAAAUGAAAACAUUUUAGGUCACAGCAAGUGGACAAACAAUAGCAUUACUGGCACAAUAACUUUUGUAAUCCUUCUUCCUGGUAUUCAGUCAGGAUUAAGUGACUCACCUUACAGUGAGUGCAUUCUUAGUGAAUAUGAGGUCUUAUUUGUAAGGUCGAUGAAUAGAAGUGCCAUUGAAAUGGUGACUGUCUCAUUCUGUCACUAGCUGGUAUUCAAAUUUUGGAGAGUUAGUGGAGAGUGGAGGAUAAUACUGGAUUCCAUUAACAAAUUUUAAAGACAUUUAAUAUCAACAGGUCUGGAAGCAGUUAAGAUAUUUGGAAACAGAGUUUGCUGACAUCAUUAAUCCAUUCAUUUUUUUUCCCCUAAAACUUACAAAGUUUUCAACACCCACUUUAUGGUAGGCUCUAAGGGAUAAAACUAAAUUAUAGAGACAAAACAUUGUCCCUUAUUUCUCUUAAGAAGGGGAAAUCAGAUGAAUAAAUACCUGUAAUACAGUGUGAUGGUGCUUUAAUAGAGGCAGAACUAUUUUUGGUGAGUUAUUUACCACUGAGAAACUUUUUAUUCAGAAUCGCAUGAACCAGAAAGCAUGCUUAAGCUUUAGUUUGAACAUAACUAGUAAGAUAAAAUGCAAGUGGAAAUUUAAUAUUUCACUAAAAUAAUAGGCUGUAUUCAUUUACAAAUAUAAGUACAUAUAAUAGUAUAUCUUUACAAUAUAUUUACUAAUGUUAUAUAUAAAUAAAUGUAUAUGUGUCUUCAUAUUUUCAAGUAUUAUAACAUGGUACAUGUAUACCUUAAGGCAGUAUUUUCAACAGUUUCUCCAACUUAUUUAGUGUCUGAAGCCAGGACAGGUACUUUCUCAUUCAAUCAACUACAGAGAAAGUGAGGAGAAAAUGUACAGCAAAGUAGGGAAUUCGACAUGUCAGUUUACAAAGCUAACAAUGCCUGCUGCAUCCUUCGCAUUUUUCACCUUUGCCAUUUCCCCUGAGGAGGGCAGCAGAAUAGAAUCAUUUCUCCUUGUAGAACUGAGAACGUACAUAUCGUUGCUACAUUUUUUAAACCGAUUUUCCCUCACAAAUUCACUAACACUUGAAAGGCCUGCUUUGUAGUCCCACAAGUUAUAAAGAGAGAACGGAGACACAAACUAUGAUGAAAAAGCAUCCAAGGUAGGGGCUUUCUUCUAGACAACACUUUUCUGUUCAGUUUGAUUAGAAACUAUAUCCAUUUUGUUACGAAAAUCAGUUACAUUGGAACAUUAGCCAUUAUUAUUACAUGUUUUAUAUAUUAAAUGAUAAUUAAUUGCAUUUGGGAAAAUUAAUUGCUGAACCUGAAUUAGACAGAUUCAACACUCCUCAUAGACAAAGCUAGAUGACCACGUGGCAGAGACCAGACCAGCACGUAUGCUUCUUGAAGACAGACCUUGAUCCAAAAAGAAAGAUGAUGGAGCUGUUUCCCAGGGUUGUUGUAACAAAUCACCAUGAACUUGAUGGCUUAGGACAGCAGAGCUUUAUUCCCCCACAGCUCUGGAGACUAGAAAUCUGAGAGCAAAGUGUCAGAAGGGCCAUGCUCCCUCUGAAGACCCUCUGAAGACUCUAGAGAAGAAUCCUUCCUUGCCUGCACCUGGGGUCUCCAGCAACUCUUGGUGCUCCUCACCUUCCAGAUGCAUCCCUCUAAGUUGUGCCUGCUUCUCUGAUGGCACUGUGCAUCCUCUCUUCUGAUGAGGACACCAGUCAAUGGAUUUAGAGCCCACUCUAAUCUAGCAUGACCUUUUUUUAACUUGAUAAUAUCUGAAAAAAAAAAAAAAACUGUAUUU
rnacentral:lncRNA from 1 species